rnacentral:rRNA from 1 species
CCUACGGGAGGCAGCAGUGGGGGAUAUUGCACAAUGGGGGAAACCCUGAUGCAGCGACGCCGCGUGAGUGAAGAAGGAGGUCGGGAUGUAAAGCUCUAGCAGCAGGGAAGAAAAUGACAGUACCUGACCAAGAAGCCCCGGCUAACUACGGGCCAGCAGCCGCGGUAAGACGUAGGGGGCAAGCGUUAUCCGGAGUUACUGGGCUGAAAGGGAGCGUAGACGGUUAUGGAAGUCUGGAGUGAAAGCCCGGGGCCCAACCCCGGGACUGCUUUGGAAACUGUGUAACUGGAGUACAGGAGGGGCAGGCUGCAUUCCUGGUGUAGCCGUGAAAUGCUUAGCUAUCAGGCGGAACCCCGGCGGCGAAGGCGGCCUGCUGGACUGAAACUGCCGUUGAGGCUCGACAGCGUGGGGAGCAAACAGGAUUCGCUACCCGGGUAGUC